rnacentral:rRNA from 1 species
CAUGCAGUCGAGGGGCAGCAUCAGUGCUUGCACUGGAUGGCGACCGGCGCACGGGUGAGUAACGCGCAUGCAACCUACCCAUAACCGGGGAAUAGCUUUCGGAAACGGAAAUUAAUACCCCAGAUACUUUAAAAUCGCAUGAUUUAAAAGUUCAAGCUCCGGCGGUUAUGGAUGGGCAUGCGUGCCAUUAGCUAGUUGGUGAGGUAACGGCUCACCAAGGCGAUGAUGGCUAGGGGGUCUUAAAGGAUGGUCCCCCACACUGGUACUGAGACACGGACCAGACUCCUACGGGAGGCAGCAGUGAGGAAUAUUGGGCAAUGGACGCAAGUCUGACCCAGCCAUGCCGCGUGCAGGAAGACGGCCCUACGGGUUGUAAACUGCUUUUGUACGGGAAGAAAAAGCUCUACGAGUAGAGUACUGACGGUACCGUACGAAUAAGCAUCGGCUAACUCCGUGCCAGCAGCCGCGGUAAUACGGAGGAUGCAAGCGUUAUCCGGAUUUAUUAGGUUUAAAGGGUGUGUAGGCGGUAUUUUAAGUCAGUGGUGAAAUCUUUCGGCUUAACCGAGAAACUGCCAUUGAUACUGGAAUACUUGAGUAUAGUUGAGGUAGGCGGAAUAUGUAAUGUAGCGGUGAAAUGCAUAGAUAUUACAUAGAACACCGAUUGCGAAGGCAGCUUACUAAGCUAUUACUGACGCUGAUGCACGAAAGCGUGGGGAGCGAACAGGAUUAGAUACCCUGGUAGUCCACGCCGU